GCGUGAGGGAAACGCCCGGUUACAUUCCGAACCCGGAAGCUAAGCCUCACAGCGCCGAU
rnacentral:rRNA from 1 species